rnacentral:rRNA from 1 species
GGGUCAGUAGGUUGGUCGUGCCACCGGUACGUACUGGUCUCACUGAUUCCUCCUUCCUGAAGAACCGUAAUGCCAUUAAUUUGGUGUUGCGGGGAAACAGGACUGUUACCUUGAAAAAAUUAGAGUGUUUAAAGCAAGCUAACGCUUGAAUACAUUAGCAUGGAAUAAUGAAAUAGGACGAUCGAUCCUAUUUUGUUGGUUUCUAGGAUUGACGUA